rnacentral:rRNA from 1 species
UGGGGAAUUUUGGACAAUGGGCGCAAGCCUGAUCCAGCCAUGCCGCGUGAGUGAAGAAGGCCUUCGGGUUGUAAAGCUCUUUCAGACGGAAAGAAAUCUCUCAGGAUAAUACCUUGGGAGGAUGACGGUACCGUAAGAAGAAGCACCGGCUAACUACGUGCCAGCAGCCGCGGUGAUACGUAGGGUGCGAGCGUUAAUCGGAAUUACUGGGCGUAAAGCGUGCGCAGGCGGUUAUGUAAGACAGAUGUGAAAUCCCCGGGCUCAACCUGGGAACUGCGUUUGUGACUGCAUAACUAGAGUACGGCAGAGUGAGGUGAAAAUCCGCGUGGAGCAGUGAAAUGCGUAGAGAUGCGGAGGAACACCGAUGGCGAAGGCAGCCUCCUGGGCCAGUACUGACGCUCAUGCACGGAAGCGUGGGGAGCAAA